GUACACACCGCCCGUCGCUCCUACCGAUUGAAUGAUCCGAUGAAGGCUCCGGAUUGGGGCACUAAGUGGUAAGGGCAACCUUCGCGGCUGCCGAGAACUGGCGCAAACUUGACCAUUUAGAGGAAGCAAAAGUCGUAACAAGGUUUCCGUAGGUGAACCUGCAGAAGGAUCA
rnacentral:rRNA from 1 species